GAGUUUGAUCCUGGCUCAGAACGAACGCUGGCGGCGCGUUUUAAGCAUGCAAGUCGAACGGCAGCCUGUAGCAAUACGGGUGAGAGUGGCGAACGGGUGAGUAACACGUAGGUGAUCUGUCCUUGUUUUGGGGAUAGUCCGUGGAAACAUGGGGUAAUACCGAAUGAGCUCGCGGGGAGUAAAGGCCCUGAUGAGGAAAGGCGCGGAUGCGCCGAACGGGGAUGAGCCUGCGGCCCAUUAGCUAGUUGGUGGGGUAAGAGCCUACCAAGGCGACGAUGGGUAGCCGGCCUGAGAGGGUGAACGGCCACACUGGGACUGAGAUACGGCCCAGACUCCUACGGGAGGCAGCAGCUAAGAAUCUUCCGCAAUGGGCGAAAGCCUGACGGAGCGACGCCGCGUGGACGAAGAAGGCCGAAAGGUUGUAAAGUCCUUUUCUCUGUGAAGAAUAAGGGUGCGAGGAAACGCGCAUACGAUGACGUUAGCAGAGGAAUAAGCCCCGGCUAAUUACGUGCCAGCAGCCGCGGUAAUACGUAAGGGGCGAGCGUUGUUCGGAAUUAUUGGGUGUAAAGGGCGCGUAGGCGGCUCUGCAAGUCUGGUGUAAAAGAUGGCAGCUUAACUGUCGGAGUGCGCUGGAAACUGCAGGGCUUGAGUUUAGGAGGGGGAGCUGGAAUUCCAGGUGUAGGGGUGAAAUCUGUAGAUAUCUGGAAGAACACCGGUGGCGAAGGCGAGCUCCUGGCCAUAGACUGACGCUGAGGCGCGAAAGCGUGGGGAGCAAACAGGAUUAGAUACCCUGGUAGUCCACGCUGUAAACGAUGUACACUAGGUGUUGGUACAUGAGUAUCAGUGCCGAAGCAAACGCGAUAAGUGUACCACCUGGGGAGUAUGCCGGCAACGGUGAAACUCAAAGGAAUUGACGGGGGCCCGCACAAGCGGUGGAGUAUGUGGUUUAAUUCGAUGAUACGCGAGGAACCUUACCAGGGUUUGACAUUGACGGUGAGUUAUGAGAGAUCAUGAUGCCCUUCGGGGGCCGUU
rnacentral:rRNA from 1 species